rnacentral:rRNA from 1 species
AGAGCAGUUGCUCCGUGCCCUCCCCGCGCCACCGCCACUAGGUUCGCCGGGAAGCCCGCCUCGUGGGCUCUCGUGCGUGGCCCCGCAAGGGUGCUGCGUGCGGGGGUCCGUCGGGGCGGUGUCCGACCGGCGUNCUGAAGGGCGGACCGGCGCGGGGUCGGGGUGCGGUCGGCGGCGGCGAUUCUGGACGUGCGCCGGGCCCUUCCCGUGAAUCUCCUAAGCUACGGCGCUCGUCGGUCCCGUUAGCGCGGGCCCGCGGGUGCCUCGUCCGGCGUCUAGCAGCCGACUUAG